rnacentral:lncRNA from 1 species
CAGUGUCCUGACAUCUCCAGAGAGAGGGAAACAGCAGGACUCUUGAGGGACCCUGAGGGCUGGUAAGCAUAGCGAGCAUAUCUCCUAACCGUGGUGGCUAUUGUGUGUCGCGGUGCUACCCAAAGUGCUCGUCGACCAGGACACGAGGACUUGGCGCGGAUGGCCACAGCCUGGCUGGGCGCGCUUCUGAGUAGCAUCUUAAGCAGCCGAGAGCUGGUGACUU